rnacentral:rRNA from 1 species
AACGAACGCUGGCGGCAUGCCUAACACAUGCAAGUCGAACGAGACCUUCGGGUCUAGUGGCGCACGGGUGCGUAACGCGUGGGAAUCUGCCCUUCGGUUGGGAAUAACUGAGAGAAAUUUCAGCUAAUACCUUAUAAUGUCUUCGGACCAAAGAUUUAUCGCCGAGGGAUGAGCCCGCGUAGGAUUAGGUAGUUGGUGAGGUAAUGGCCUACCAAGCCGACGAUCCUUAGCUGGUCUGAGAGGAUGAUCAGCCACACUGGGACUGAGACACGGCCCAGACUCCUACGGGAGGCAGCAGUGGGGAAUAUUGGACAAUGGGCGAAAGCCUGAUCCAGCAAUGCCGCGUGAGUGAUGAAGGCCUUAGGGUUGUAAAGCUCUUUUACCCGGGAUGAUAAUGACAGUACCGGGAGAAUAAGCUCCGGCUAACUCCGUG